GUGACUCCAUACCCAAGCGGUAUACGUAAGGCGCAUAACCAAGUUAUUAUUUAUUUUGUUUUACAUGCUAAAAUGUUACUUUGUGUUUUAAAAUCUUAUUGUACCACACAAGAUGCAUGUAGGAGAGAAUACCGGGGCCCCCAACCUCCUCCCACACAGACUCAAUACGUAUUCAGCGAGACAUAGUCUCGGUUAGAUCCUGACACUGCCCAAUUACCAUGGGUUGGGGAGUCGGGG